GAUUCACAUACCACUGAGCAAGAACAUGUCCUCAUUCUACUAUAGGAAGUUAAGUAUCAUCUUACGCCAUCUACGGGUUGCACUGAAACAAAAAAGAAAAUUUAAAAAUCAUUUAGAAUGAUAAAUCAUGUCCCGUGAGAAUACACAAGAUUAUGCAGUAUGUCUACAUACAUCCACCAAGUAUCCACAGCUGUGAUGAAAACAAUCAAAAUUGCCAUGUAUGUUUAGUUGUUUUAGAAAUGUGUCAAAAAUUGUUUAUAGUAACCGCUUGUGAGUGCACUUUGGCAAACUUUUGGCUAUUUCUCCAACUAUAGGAGCUGCAGAUAUUUGCACAAAUUGGAUAGGGGAAGCAAGCAGGCAUCUUAUUAUUACAUAAAGAUGAUGAGAACUUUUCAUCUCUCAUGGGAAUGAUAAGGCCUCAGUCGGACUUUGAAGACAGCCUGUCACCACUUCCUGCUGUACUGCAGGGAUGCUCCUGAGCCACUUUAGGACAAUGUUGGAUUGCAAAAGUGAACCCCAGCACACCAAGACAAUAAACGUCAAGCCCACUUAUUAACCUAAACUAACUGUGUCUCAUCUCUAUCUUGCAGAUGAUCUACAUCUGUGUAAAUAGAGUGUGUGAGUGUGUAGGGGAGACUGGGGACGGUUGCAACAACUCUGCAAAACCGACCUGCAUCUAUGUAAUUAGAAAGCAUGUGUGUAUUACAGAAUUAAUUAAAAUGCAAAGAUACAGUAAUACACAAUGUGCAUUUUUCACAUAUGUGCACUUUGUAAACAGUGUUAUUAAAUGACAUAUUGAUGUACACACACUUGCAGGAGGGUCUUUGAAUAUAUCUAGGAGGUCAGGAAGUGGUGAGCUCGUCACAAGUGAGAGGAGCCCAUGCAGUAGCUGCAAUUUUAGAUCAUCUGUAAAGUCUUUGGUAAUGAACAUGUCAAGCCUAAUGCACACCUAUCUGCUGAUAGUUUGCUGUUUUACAUUUGUCUGCAUCGAUGGAAGAGAUCAAGACUUGUUUCCUUCAUGUGAAGUUACACUGAUGGUCCAUAGAGGCACGACAGUAAAAACUGCCUCACGACAACCACUGACAGUCAAAUGUCCUGUCAAACACUGUGGAGAAUCACUAGAUGUCGCCUGGUGUAAACUGCUCAACACAAACAGAUGUGAACAGAUUAAUGAAACUGGGAAUGUAGAAAUAAUACAGGAUGAAAUGAUCUCAUCUUUGAUUUUCAAACGGAUAUCCAUUUAUGAUGACGGCCUCUACAGAUUUUAUAUAAAAGGAUCGAAAUAUGUGGCGUUCAGUCACAUCAUCAACAUCUCAGUUUCGGGUAGGCAGUUUUUUCUCCUUCAGAGCCAAAAUAUAGAUAUAAAAUGUCUUCUAAAUUCUUUCUAUCAAUCUACAGACUCUAUAGACACCAUGGGGUUAAAAAGUCUGACAAUAAUGCUGAUGAGUUACCAAGUGCUGCUGGUGAUGAGGAAGAGUCCUGGCAGCCAUACGUCUACAUCUGUGUUAGCAUAACUCUUCUGGUCGUCAAUUGACAGUGUUAUCCCUCUUAAGUUUUUAUGGCUGGAAAUUUAAGAACAUUAACAUGUAUUCACAGUCUGAAUUAUUGUGACAAAAUGUAUUGAUCUUACCAAACAGUGGAGGACUUGUUGUAUUAUCUUCUUCACAGGACAGGAAUACUGACUUACAACCACGCAGAGGGACAGGAAAUGUGAUGAAUUUUGAGAAAUGUAGGAGCUCCCUUUCAUGCUUUGAGUUGAGAAGAUUGAUACCAUUCUAUGUGAUAAAUAUACAGUUACAGGCAGCAGCCAGUUACAGUAGCUUAGCAUCUCUAAAGCUCACCAUCUUGUUUGUUUAAUCCGGACUAAAACUGACGUGUGAAACUGAUGUACUGCGGUUUUAUGAGGGGUUAUGUGCUUUGUGUCACAGAGAGGUUGCCAGGAAACCAGUUGGCGACUCCAGGAAGUUACAUCUCUCUGCCAAGAAAUAGUUUGGCGCUCUGUAAAGCCAAAAUGUGUUGUUUUAAUACUCUUUUUUGUAAGAGUUGAACAAAUGAUAAUGUGUUAACCCUUAAAAGCAUAAAUCAGGACUUUCAUGACCCAGGACUAUAUCUAAUUCUUUCAUGUCAUUCGGUUAAGCAGUCACACCUGGUCAAACUAUUAGUUUUUAACAAUGUUCUGGUGUCAUAAUGUAAAAAUUUAUGAAAGCGUUGUUAUUUUAAAUGUUUUUCUCUAAAAAGUUAAUAUGGUCGCAAGAGACUUGAGUUAUGAAUGUUUUUAUCCACUUCAUGCUUGAUGCACAUGAUAGCGGAGUAAUGUUGUUUUUUCCUGUUUGGCUUCAUAAUGGUGACGUGUCACUGCUACUAUCACAAAAUAAAGACACAAUAAU